UACAGAGGUCCCAAGCGUUGUUCGGAUUCAUUGGGCGUAAAGGGUGCGUAGGUGGUUUGUCGCGUUGUUCGUGAAAACCGGGGGCUUAACCCUCGGCGUGCGGGCGAUACGGGCAGACUUGAGUACUGCAGGGGAGACUGGAAUUCCUGGUGUAGCGGUGAAAUGCGCAGAUAUCAGGAGGAACACCGGUGGCGAAGGCGGGUCGCUGGAACGUUACUGACGCUGAGACGCGAAAGCGUGGGGAGCAAACAGG
rnacentral:rRNA from 1 species